rnacentral:tRNA from 1 species
GCUGCGAUGGCCGAGUGGUUAAGGCGUUGGACUUGAAAUCCAAUGGGAUCUUCCCCCGUAGGUUCGAACCCUACUCGCAGCG